rnacentral:tRNA from 1 species
UACUUUAUAGUGUAUGAGCAUAUUAGAUUUUGAUUCUAAUGGAUUAAAUUAAAUUUUAUUGAAGUAA